UCAAUGUGAUUGGUGGAGCAUCACGCUCGUGGAUCGAUGACGUGUAUCUCGUAGUGCCGUUGAUAUUUCUCUGUGCCUCCAUCUCAGGCCCGAGCGGCCAUCUCUCCCUCAUCUCUCUCUGCUCCUUUAUUCAUCCCGAGCGGCCAACUCUCCCCCGUCUCUCUCUUUUCCUCCUCCCUGACUUGGCCGGAUCCGCCCUCCUCCCUGCCUCGUCGACGACGGCAACAACCGGAUCCGCCCUGCGCGUCGGUCCCAGAUCCCCCGCCGCGCGCCCCCGGAUCCUCCGACGCCAGCAACCGCGACCCUCGGCCCCGCGCGCUGCCCGGCUGCCCUCGGCCCCUCCCGUCGCCAAGGGAUCCGCCCUCGGUCGAGCCACCGCCGGAUCCGCCCGCCCGUGUCCUGGCCGUCGCACGGCUCCCUCUCACAGGUGAAUGGCUCCGAUCUCCACCGGCUGCUGCCACGUGUGUCUGCAAGGGGUGCGGGCUGAUCCGGCCUCCCCCUGUCUCAGAGCCGACGACGAGCAGCUCCGUCGGCGGCACCGGCGUCCCCUGAUGUGGGUUUGGGGCGGGUUCGUGGGUGGCCCGUGUUUUUUUUAUUUUCACUGAAAUCCUAUCAGUGUCGGCUCUGUGCAUGCACGACACUGAUGGGUGCCCCUAUCAGUGUCAGUUUGGGCACACGACACUCAUGAACCGCAUCAGUGGCCAACCGUUAGUGGCAGCCGAAUGACACGCCACUGAUCCGUCUUUUUGCCCGCCACAGAUGGCCCUUUUUUUACUAGUGCAAUCUAGACGCCAAACCACUCCUAUGCAAAAAUCACGGCACAACAAAGGCAAUCAACUGUUUCACUUUCAAAAUCCUCGGUGCCCAUGUUGAUAUGAAAAUUCUGUCAGAAAUA